UAAGAGCAGCAACAACCAAACAACUAUGGUUCUUGUACUGUGCUAAGCUCUGGAGAAGACAUAGAAAUGUAAAAGGCAGUCCCUGCCCUCAAGGAGCUUAGUCUACCAUGGAGACAAUGUAAAACAACUGUAUAGAUUCGGAUAUUUGCUUUCACAAGUGUAGGGUGUGUCCCGACUGACCCGGACUCCCCUGCCGCCUUUAGCCUAAGGGAGUGCACGUAGUCGCCUGAGGACCUCUGGUAUCAUGUAAAAGACAUAGGUGAAGGAGGCGAUCUUGGGUAAGUGAUUGGUCAGCGCUACUCUUGAUACGCGCUCCUCACAAGGCCAAGAUCUUCGGGGCUGCGUACAGUGGCUUGCCUGGGCAGAGAUAGGAAAGCAGGAAGAAGACAAAGAUCCACGUAUAGCAAAAACCUAAGAAGCAAGAAGGAAUGGGAAGAAGAAUAAAAUGAAAGAGGAGAUAGAAGAUGAUGUCUAUUCUUUGUAUCCUC